UGCAGACCGGACUGCGGAGGUUGCUGUUGUGCGAAGGAUAGGUGUGGAGGUGAUUGCGGACUUCUGGUCACGGCUAGCUGCGUUUGUGAGUCUGCGUCGGCCUCCGCGCCGCUGGGACCUUGUCCCGAACCAGCACCCAUUCCUAGCGUCAGAUGAUGUUGGAGGGGUUAUCUUGGUAGGGCCAACAGCGGACUCGCCACCGGCCUCACCCUAGCUUGUCAGCUUAGGGACUCGCAAGAGGUAGUCUUAUGACGCCGACCCACGGCUUAGGUGAGCAGCGCUAGCGUUUGCGGUGAGCCGGGCCUGGGGUUCCUCCCCUCUCCGGAGGCGAGGAGCAUGGGGGUCAUUCGGGGAUCUCUCCUCGGGUGAGCGUGCGUGUCUCGUACGUUUUUGGGGCCCUGGCUUAGUCCACGGCUGUCGUCCCACAUGUAACCUCUAUCAGCUAAACGCCCGCCCGUGGGCUUUGUACGCGGGUGGUCUUGCGCCACGAUGCCGGAGUUGGGUGCCGCCACGAUGCCGGAGUUGGGUGCCGGAGUCACAUCAAGGUCGCAAGAUCGAAACCCGUCAGGAACAGUUCGGCUCCGUUACCUGUGUAGGCACUGAACAUACUUGUGCCGAACUUCCCCGAACGAGCGCCAUCUCGGCCUUCCUAGGUCGCUGCUCUACGGGUGAGGACGCUGGUGCGGCGGGUUCUGAAAAUCAGAUUCAUCCAACCAUUGGUUGGUCCUGCCAUUCGGGCUCACCAACGCUCCUGCUACGUUUCAAGCCACUAUGAACCGCAUCUUUGCGCCGUUCCUGAACCGGUUUGUGACUGUGUAUUUGGAUGACAUCCUCAUUUUCAGUCGCACCGCUGAAGAACAUGAACAACACCUCCGCCAAGUGUUGGCCUGCCUCCGUAAAUGGAAACUACACGCCAAACUUAGCAAGUGCGAGUUCUGGCGCAGUGAGGUGAAAUACUUGGGGCAUAUUGUCAGUUCGGAUGGAAUCCGCAUGGAUCCAAAGAAAGUUGAGCAAAUCCGUCAGUGGCCGCGUGACCUGUCUGAAUUGCGGUCAUUUGUUGGUUUAGCCAACUAUUUCCGCCGGUUUAUUGCUGGUUUUGCAUCCCUGGCCGCACCGUUCACCAACAUGUUCUCACCAGAGGUCGGCAAACGCAUUUUUUCUGCUGCGGGUCCCAGACCGAUUUCGGUAAAUCCCCACCGGGGGGUGUGGGGGGUGUCCCCCCAGCCGGGGGUCCGGGGGCGGGAGCCCCCGGAGAAAAUUUUCGCAUAUCGGGCCUCAAAUAUGUGCUUUUUACAAGGGUUUCCGCGUGUGCAAGGCUUGCAUUCGUCUUACAUGUUCAACAGCACAUGUCUGGACAGCUGCUCUGUGGCAGGCAGCCACAAAUCCUCGCAAUCCCCCUCUGUUCCGCGCAAGCCAGCCCCAGGGCAGCAGCCCCAAAGAAAUUUUUUUGGAUUGCGCUUCAAAUUGCGACAUUUUCAAGAUGUUUGGGGGGCAUUUUGGCUAAACCAAGAGCAAGUCAAUCAUGUUUUGGGUCGGUUUUGGGGGGCAGUUUUGCUUUCUGGAGCGAUUUCGGUAGUGUAAGUACCCGCAGCGGUUGACUAUUUUCGAUUUCGGUUGCGGGUACUUCGGGGGGCCCCGAAGGACCCGAGGCUUAUGCCGACCUCUGGUUCUCACUCACGCGCCUACCGGACACUUGGCCUCCGCAGGCCCUGCACGCGUUUGAACAAAUCAAAGAACGCCUGUCAACCGAUGUGCUUUUGCGUUAUCCUGAUUUCUCGAAGCCCUUUGUCGUCAUGUCCGACGCUUCGCUGAACGGAACGGGUGCUGUCUUGUUGCAAGAGGACCGACCGGUCGCUUUUACCAGCAAGAAGUUCUCCCCUGCUGAACGCAACUACAGCACUGGUGAACAAGAACUGUUGGGUGUGGUAAACGCCCUGCGUGAAUGGCGUUGUUACCUGCAGAGCGCGCUACCUUUUACUUUGUACACGGACCAUCAUCCGUUGAUCUACCUCAAGACCCAAGCACACCUUUCAAGACGUCAAGCCCGCUGGGUGGAGCUCCUGUCUGAGUUCCAUUUCGACUGGGUCUACCGCCCAGGCAAGCUCAACGUAGUUGCUGAUGCCCUGUCUCGACACCCGUCGCUGUCCUUCCUGCAUGCUAUGCAAACCCGCCGUCAAGCUGCCGCCGCGGCUUCCUCGCCGCCUGCUCCCUCUGCGACGCCCUCUGCGCCUCGUGCCCGUGCUGCGCACGCACCUGCGCCUGUUUCCUCUGGGCCUGUCGCUACCUUCACAGCACGUAUUGCUGCGGCUGUGCGAGCUGAUACCUGGUUUCAGGAUGCGGCUAACGUGCGUGGUCUGGCUACGAGCCCUGAUGGUCUCUUUUUGCGGGAGGAGGAGGGGAGUUGGCGCAUCCUUGUGCCUAAUGACCCUGAUCUGAAACGCGAUAUCAUUGCGAGUUGCCAUUCUGAACGCCUCGCCGGACACCAGGGUCGUGAUCGCACUACUGAGCUGGUUCGCCGUACGUUUACGUGGCCUACCCUGACCCGCGAUGUGGCUGACUUCGUAGCGUCCUGUGACGCCUGCCAACGUUCCAAGCCUGCUUCUGGCAAGCCUGCUGGCAAGCUUCAACCGCUGCCUAUCCCGGAACUACCUUGGGAGAGUGUGUCUAUGGACUUCAUUACGGGUUUACCUCGUACGCAGCGUCACAAUACCGCUAUCUGCGUGUUUGUGGACCGCCUGACUAAGAUGGUGCACAUCGCGCCCUGUUCCCACGAAAUCAAUGGACAGCAGACUGCUGACCUAUUCUUUGACUCUGUGGUUCGCCUGCAUGGCCUGCCUCGUGAGAUUGUGUCUGACCGCGGCACAGUAUUCACCGGAGCUUUCACUACCGCGCUGACUAAGCGCCUGGGAAUUAAGCAGUCUUUGUCUACCGCUUUCCACCCCCAGACUGAUGGGCAGACUGAACGGAUUAAUCGUAUCUUGAAUGAUAUGAUGCGGAACUUUUGUGAUGGAAAUCACGCGAAUUGGGACCGGUACUUGUCGGCCGCUGAGUUUGCGAUUAACAAUGCGCAGAACCGUUCCACCGGCAAGUCCCCUUUCUUCCUGACUUACGGCGUCCACCCUAAGACACCGCUGACACUGGACGUUGGAAAUUCCGUCCCUGCCGCUAAGCAUUACACAGAUAACCUUAUGGAACGUCUGAACGCUGCUAAGCGCUGUUUGCAAGCCGCGCAAGACCGCGCCCGCCAAGAUGCAGACCGACACCGCCGUGCCGUGACUUUUACGGAAGGUCAGAUGGUGUUGCUGAGCACAAAGAACUUUCGUGAGUAUCAAGGCAAGCACAAGAAGCUUAUGCCCCGAUGGGUUGGACCCUUUCCAAUUGAGAAGAUGAUUAACCCUGUUGCGGCUCGCUUGACGCUACCGCCUGGUGAAGAAAAGCACAACGUGUUUCACGUCUCUUUGCUGCGACCAUACCGCCAGCCUGCUGACGCCACGCCUGUUCGUGUGCUACCCUUGCCUGUUACGUCCAAUGGCACUCCCACUCUGCGUGCUGAGCGCAUUCUGGACCAUGAGACACGCAAGCUGCGGAACCGUGAGAUUCACCGUUACUACGUGAAAUUCGUAGGACGAGACAUGGAGAACAACCAAUGGUUGGAUGAAUCUGAUUUUCCUGAUCGCACCUUGAUUGAUGCCUAUUGGGCUUCACGACAGGUUGCCAGUUCUGUACCUUCUACUUGAGCUGCGGGACGCUAGCUCUUGGAGGGGGAGCAGUUGUUGUAGAGCAUAUUGUUAUAUGCGAUAUAUGAUAUGACACGCUACGGUGUCCAGAAUUGGGGCUGUUCUAGCUACGAGUCUAGAACCUGCAAUGUGUCCAGAGAUGGGCCGCUGCAUGGAGUGCAGUACGCUCGGCGACACUUGAAAUAGUCCUAACUGGCCGGCAGCCAGUAACAUAGGUGACCUGUGCACUAGCCCUGCUAAGGUCUUGCUAUUGUUAGCCGGGUCGGCACCGGCUUAGGGCAAUAGCUCUCGCUAAUUGGCAUAGAGCCGCCUACAACAUUUGGUGCGCAAUCAAGCCAUCUGUACUUGGCGCCGGCCCAGGCCCUCUUCGCCUACCUCGACCGCGCGGGCUUUGGUGUCUCCUGGGCGGAUAUCCGCCUCGUAGCUACUGCCUUUGCGGACGACGCUGCGCCGUUCUUGCGUCGGAUGGCCAACGUGCCUGGUUUCCUGGCAGCUAUGGAGACCUUCCGCGCCGCCUCUGGGCAGCGCCUUAACCUCGACAAAGUGGAGCUUCUGCCCAUCGGUGCACGGCGCCGCGCCACUCCUGCUCCCACCCGCGCUGUCGCUGCUGGCUUGGCGGCUGGCGGCGCAGCGGCUGGCAACAUGGCAGCUCACGGCGUGGCGGCGACCAGUGUGGCAGCUGCCGGCGGCAUGGCUGCCGGCGGCGCGGCGGCUGGUGGCGCGGUGGCUGGCGGCGGCCCCGGCACCAGCCACUCUGGUGGGGGCAUCUUGGCGGCCGGUGGUGCGGUGCCUUCUCGGGCGGGCGCGGUUUGGGCAGCUGCCGGUGUUGUGGUCACUGGUGGCGUGACGGCCGGCGGCUCUGCCGCGGGUGCUGGCGGUGCCGUAGCCGCGCCUGCCCCGCCCAACACAGUUGCUAUGGCGCAUGGCUUGCGCGUAGUCUCGCACUCGCGCACGCUGGGUGUGGUCUUCUACGACCUCCCACUUGGCACGGCUGCAGCCCAGGGGGCUCCUUCCCUCUCCCCUGCCAUUGGCACCCUGGGGACGCUCUGCGGCCUCCCCCUAACUGCCUUUGGCCGUGGCUUCUGUGCCUCCUCCUACGCCGUCAGCCGUGUGCUCUACCAUAUGGAGUUUGCGGGUCUGCCGCCGCAGACGGUUUUGGCAGACUUCCUCAAAACGCUUGUGCGGUUUGUGGACCGCCGCAUCAUCGUUGCCACGCCGCAAGGUGCUGGCCGGGCCCGACCUCCCGGCCUCCCCUCCGACUGCGUCGCCCUGCCGCCACGCGAUGGCGGCUUUGGACUGCUGCCGGUGGUGGAACACGUGCGCGCCCGACACGCUGUGUUGGCUGUGCGCUGGCUGCAGCACAUGCACGGCUCUGCGGCUGGCACCUACGUACCGCCGUGGACAGCCGCCGCCACCGCCCUGGUGCAGCAGCUACACACGGCCGCCCACCCCCUCUGCGUCCUGACGAUGCAGCGGGCGGCCGGCGGUGUCGGACCCGCUGCCGAUGGCUGUGCAAUCUUCGGCCAGCCGGUGGCGGCAACCUGCCCGGCCCUCGUGCGCCUCCUGGGUGCCCUCAGCUACCUGCCUCCGGUCACAAUCCUACGCCCGGCUGUGCUGGUGCCAGGGCCCUGGUGCUUUGCACUUCCGCUCUGGGGCAAUCCAGUCUUGCCGUGUGCGGCGGGGCUUCAGGCGGGUGGCUUGGAACGUGACUUCCCAGCUCUCAUGGCGCUGCCGGGUCUGCUCACGCUCGGCACGGCAGUGCGGUGCUGGGAGGCGCUGGCCGCGGUGCGCCAGCUGGUGGCUUCCAAGCCGGCUGGUGCGCUCGGGCCGCGCCUCGCACGUCGCUGCACUAUACAGUACAAGCGGUCCGUCCUGCGCCCCAUCCUGCGCAUUACGGAUAUGGCGCGCGUGCCGCCGGCGCUGCAGUCCGGCCCGGAUGCUGCUGCCCAGUUCUCCGCGCUGCUGGCCCGUGUACCGGCGGCGUGGAGGGUGGCGGCGUCGGCCACACUGCAUGCGCCUGGCGGCGCGGCCUCCGCGCCUCCUGCCCCCCAGGUAUGGCUGCUGCUUGCGCAGAGCCUGGGGUGGCGGCAUGGCGCGGCUGACGUGCCCUUGCUGACCCUUACGGUGAAGCAGGCAACCCAGCUUCAACUUGCGCCUGCGUACGACGCGCUCCGCGUGCGUCACUUGGCCUUCAUCCAGGAGGCCUACAGCGGCGCCGCACCGCCAGCGGAAGCGAUUCAUGCGCUGCGGGCGGCCCUGGCGCGGCUGUGGGCGUUGGUGUGGGAGCCGCGACACAAGGAACCGCUCUGGCGUCUGGCAGUCAAUGGGUUCACGGGCUUUGGGAUGCUUGCGGCGUGGGCCGCAGAUGGACGCGUGGAGAAAUGCCCGUGUGGGACUCAGAUGACUGCUGGCGCUAGGGUUCAUCACUUCUGGGACUGUGUGGUGGCGGAGGCUCUGCGUGAUGUGAUGCGGGAGCAUGCGAAUGUGGACAUCACACGGAACCAGUUGUGGUUAGUACAGGCGCCACCAGGGCUAUCGCAGGCGGUGUGGGACAUCGUGUGCUUGGCUGCUGUGGCGGCCCUGGAAUACGGCCGACAGCGCCUUUACGCUUGCCGUGAUGCUGCAGACCGGACUGCGGAGGUUGCUGUUGUGCGAAAGAUCGGUGUGGAGGUGAUUGCGGACUUCUGGUCACGGCUAGCUGCGUUUGUGAGUCUGCGUCGGCCUCCGCGCCGCUGGGACCUUGUCCCGAACCAGCACCCAUUCCUAGCGUCAGAUGAUGUUGGAGGGGUUAUCUUGGUAGGGCCAACAGCGGACUCGCCACCGGCCUCACCCUAGCUUGUCAGCUUAGGGACUCGCAAGAGGUAGUCUUAUGACGCCGACCCACGGCUUAGGUGAGCAGCGCUAGCGUUUGCGGUGAGCCGGGCCUGGGGUUCCUCCCCUCUCCGGAGGCGAG
rnacentral:lncRNA from 1 species